AAGAAUGGGAUGUGAUUGUUCUAUAUAAGAUUCUUGUUACGUUUCAUUUUUUAAAAUGCAGAGGGUUUGGUAAAAAUGACAGUGCACAAAGAUUAAAUUAUGUACAUGUAGUUAUGUAUAAAGAUUGGAGUUGAAUUUUUGUUAUCGUGUAAUGAUCUUUGUAUAAAUGUUGUCGCUGAUUAAACCAAUUUUUAAGGUUAUUUAUAAUUGCAAGACACUGACAUGUUGUAUGGCAUUCUUAAUCAACAGUUAUCAUUUAUAAUUAUAUAUUAUUGUUGUAUACUAGUAUAUCAAAAUAUUUGUUCUAAUGUAGCUGUGAAAUUGAUUUAAGGUACUGCAUUUGUAGUAAAAUUUAAAUAAUUUGAAAGAUUUCUAAUUUGUUCUAAGCACUUCUUGGUGAUAUUUAUAUUUUUCUUUUGUUGUAAUUUUGUGAGUACAUUAUUAAUUGUAUUAUUAUGGUAGCUGUUUAUUCCUUCAUUACCAUCAGUCAUAUAAGGCAGUAUGGACGAGGUUUACAAAUUAAAAGAUAAUGGAAAAGCAUGGUGAUUAAGAAAAAGAAAGGAAAAUAGAAAACUUUUUUUUUUACUAAAAGAUAAAAAAAAUAAUUAUGUGUUAAAAUUUAAAGAAUAUAUAACAAUGGCUUGAAAUUAAUCAUAUAAAUGAACACCACCCUAUUCAGACCCUCAUAUGUAACUGGUAACCCAAACUAUGUAGGAGUGUUGCCUUUCCUGUUAAAGAAUUAUGAGCAAAAAGUAGUUCUUGUUUUCUAUGUCUUUUUAUGCCCCGCCAUAGUGGAGGGGUCAUUAAGUUUUAACCUUGUCCAUCUGUAUGUUCGUCCCUCCGUACAUCCCAAAAAAGUUUUCCGUUCUCUAAAUUUAGUUUGCCUUAACCAAAUUUUAUGAAACUUAUCCACAAUGCUUAUUACCACAAAACACAGAUUGAGGUUUAAUUUUGCUUUUACUAUUCUAGAGUUAUGCCCCUUUACAAAUGGAAAAACUGCUGAAUUUUAUGUUUCUGUUCUCUAACUAAAGUUUGCCUCAACCAAAUGUUAUGAAACUUUGACACACUGCUUAUUACCACAAAACUCAGAUCAAGAAGAAAUUUGGGUAGCGUCACUUUUACAGUUCUUGAAUUAUAGCCCUUAACUUUAUAUGCAAGUGGGGGCAUCAUCUGUGUCCCAUAGACACAUUCCCUGUUUAUUUUUUUCUUAUUAUAAAAUACCCAUUUAUAGGGAAAUGUUCCGGCCUUUACCAGUUCUUAAAUUUAAACCGAUACUGUAUGGAUUCUUAACACUGCAUAAUAAUAAAAUUAACAGAAAUGGAUGCUGGUGGGAGACUAGAGCUUGAAACUCACCUCCAACACUCAAACAUAUUUAACAGGAGAAUUAAUGUUGUUUUGUUUUGUAUUUUUCUUUUGGGGGGUGGGAGGGGGGAUAUUAAAUUCCGCCAUACUAAGUCCUUUUUAUACGCCCCCAAAAAUUUUUGCGGUCGUAUAUUGGUAUGACGUUGGCGUCGUCGUCUGAAGACACAUUGGUUUUCGCACUAUAACUUUAGUUUUAAGUGAAUGGAUCUCUAUUAAAUUUUACAAUAAGGUUAAAUACCACAAAAGGAAGGUUGGGAUUGAUUUUGGGGGUUAUGGUACCAACAGUUAAAGAAUUAGGGGCCAAAAAUAAGCAUUUUUGUAACUUCCAGACAAUAUCUUGUGUGUUAGUGUAUGGAUCACUCUAACAUUGUACCACAAGGUUCCAUAUCACAAAGGGAAUGCUGGGAUUGAUUUUGGGGGUAAUUGCCUCAAAAUUUUAGAAAUUAGGGGACAAAAAAGGGGCAAAAAGACAAGCAUUUUUCUAGUUUCAUGACAAUAACUUGUGUGUAAGUGUAUGGAUCUUUAUGAAAUUGUACUACAAGGUUCCAUGUCACAAAGGGAAAGCUGGGUUUGAGUUUGGGGGUAAUUGCCCUAAAAGUUUUGGAAUUUGUGGCCAAAAAGGGGCAAAACAACAAGCAUUUUUCUAGUUAAUAACUUGUGUUCAAGUGUAUGGAUCUCUCUGAAAUUGUACUGCUAGGUACCAUACCACAAAGGGAAGGCUGGGAUUGAGUUUGGGGUGAUUAAUCAUUAGGGGGGUUUAAAAUUGGGGGGGGGGGAUUUUUCCCCCCUUUUUUUUCUUUAAAAUUUUCCAUUUUAAGUUGGUUAUUUCUGAUUUAUAUAUAAAAGCAAAUAAUAAUGAUAUGGUUUGAUUUCAUCAAAAAUUGAAAUAUUGGGGUUCUUUGAUAUGCUGAAUCUAACCGUGUAUUUAGAUUCUUAAUUUUUGGUCCCGUUUUCAAAUUGGUCUACAUUAAGGUCCAAAGGGUCCAAAAUUAAACUAAGUUUGAUUUUAACAAAACUUGAAUUCUUGGGGUUCUUUGAUAUGUUGAAUCUAAUCAUGUAUUUAGAUUUUUGGCCCAGUUUUCAAGUUGGUCUAAAUUGGGGUCCAAAAUUAAACUUUGUUUGAUUUCAACAAAAAUUGAAUAAAUGGGGUUCUUUGAUAUGCUGAAUCUAACCAUAUAUUUUGAUUUGUUAUUUGUGGGCCCCGUUAUCAAAUUGGUCCACAUUGAGGUCAAAAGGGUCCAAAAUUAAACUUUUUGUUUGAUUUCAUCAAAAAUUGAAUUCUUUGGAUUCUUUGAUAUGCUGAAUCUAACCAUGUAUUUAGAUUUUGGAUAUUGGACCAUAAUUAGUAAAUUAAAAUUUUUUAAGUUCUUAGACCACAUUCAUUCUGUGUCAGAAACCUAUGCUCUGUCAAAUAUUUAAUCACAAUCCAAAUUCAGAGCUGUAUCAAGCUUGAAUGUUGUGUCCAUACUUGCCCCAACUGUUCAGGGUUGGACCUCUGUGGUCGUAUCAAGCUGCGCCAAGCGGAGCAUUUUAUUAAUAUUUGGGAAAACAUUCAUGAACUAAUAGUUUAUGCUUCAUUUUCCUUGACCCCUUGGCUCCAUCUCUUAAAAAGGGUCAGUCAAAUGUGUUUGCAUAUCAUUGAUAUGUAGCAAAGUAUUUUUAUUGGUAUUAAUAUUGAUUUUGUUAUCAGUAAAUUAAAAUCAAACUAAAUAUUAUGGUUAUACAAA